rnacentral:rRNA from 1 species
AUUGAACGCUGGCGGCAGGCCUAACACAUGCAAGUCGAGCGAGCGGCGGACGGGUGAGUAAUGUAUGGGGACUGCCCGAUAGAGGGGGAUAACUACUGGAAACGGUGGCUAAUACCGCAUACUAUCUGAUUGCCCACAUGGGAUUAGCUAGUAGGUAAGGUAAUGGCUUACCUAGGCGACGAUCCCUAGCUGGUCUGAGAGGAUGAUCAGCCAAAGUGGGACUGAGACACGGGCCCAACUCCUACGGAGGCAGCAGUGGGGAAUAUUUCACAAUGGGCGCCAGCCGUAUGCAGCCAUGCCGCGUGUUUGAAGAAGGCCCUAGGGUUGUAAAGUACUUUCAGUCGGGAAGCGUUACCGACAGAAGAAGCACCGGCUAACUCCGUGCCAGCAGCCGCGGUAAUAC